CACGAGACGCCCAAACCUAGUCAAAUUUCUUGCUUAGGAUAGUUAUUCCAAAAUUAGAGUUGUCUGGGUUCAAUAGGGCUAAACCCUGCUUUCAGCCCUAUCCCUCCUUAAGUUAUCGAGCCACUACUCCAACCUACUAUAUAAUACCCUCCCAUUAAUUCACCUUCUCGUAGUAAACUGUUUUAGCGUUAAGUGAAAAGG
rnacentral:lncRNA from 1 species